AUGAGGGGUUUUGAUCAUACUCCAGACAUUCUACAUUCUCGUAUAAAAAAUAAUGAAGAAGUUCGAGGAAAGAUGAAGGCUCGAAUCUUACUAGUCGGAGUCGCUCCGAAGGUGUUUCACGAUCGCUGCCAACGGAAGCAGGAGUCCAGGGAGUCUUCAAGAAGUAGGGUCACGGUUUGCCCAUGGUUUUUUAUGAUGAAUUUUACGGCAAAGCUUAUAGCGGUGAGAUAUAGUAAAGUUAUUUUUGAGGCUUAUAGCAGUGGGCUUUCUGACUUACGAUAG